rnacentral:lncRNA from 1 species
CGUUGAUCUUUGAGCAAUUCAGGGGCAUAAAUCUUCCCCUCCCUCCUCUCCUUGCUCUGAAGGGAGAGAAACUAAACGUUUUCGUAACUCUCUCCGAUCGUGAUUUCUCUUCAAUCAGCUCAUUCAUAUACACCGGCAGAGGUACGUGCAGAUAUAUGAGUUGAUUCUUUUUCCGUUUCGUUUUCACGUUCUGAUCUAUUGUCGUUCUGAUUUUCCCCCCUUUUUAUGAUUGUUUAUAAUUAAGACCGAUUAUAUUCGAAAUGAAGAUGAAGUGGUGGGGCCAAAUGAUAGUUCCAAUGCAAAAAGUUUGGACCAACUUCUCUUACCGUCUCGGUUAUCGCAAAAAUGGUUAAUUUUCACAACUCGGAGUUAUUUGUUGGUUGCUUAUCUUUUUAUUUUCCUUAAGAUUUGAUUCCCAAUUGUUGUUUUGUGCUCCAUUGAUAUGCUUACACUGUAUUUUUUAUGAUUUGUUUUGAUUAAACUAUUGGAAAUAUCAGAAUGGUUGUUUAUUGGGAAUAUUGUAAUUAAUCAUUCGCGUGGGUCUCAUCUUAUAAUAAUAUGUAAUACAAGGGGAUUCUAAAAUGGAUCCAGAAUUUUGAGUGAGCAUGGACGGUUGUUGACAAUAAAUUGGUUUAAAAGAGAUUCAAUCCCUGGUGCUCCAUUUAACCUAAAACUUUUAUUUAUUGUCAAAAAAAAGGAAAAAUUGUUAUCAACAGAUCCAGCACGUGUGGCCGUUGGUGCUCGUCAGGCACUAGAUCCACCACUAUCUAGAACCCUAAUCUUUUUAGAGCAUUAAUUUGUUAAAGGCGGUGGGAGGAAAAAGUUUCAAUUAGUUGAUUCAAAUUUAUUUGAAACAAUGUUUAGUUUGCUAUGUUAUUGUUACAUAAUCAAUUAGUUAAGUAGUCAAAUAGAGUUACCUGUCCAUAUGGAUUAAGUUCAUGAUACUGUCAAGGAAGGCACUUGUGGUACAUCUUCUUGUGCUGUUAAUAUGCAGGCUAAAUUUGAUGAAAUGAUGACAUAUCUUUUCAUAUAGACUUAGAUAAGGCUUGUUAUCUUUGUUUUUUUAUCAAACAUUCUUUAUUCUCUAUUAAGCAAUUGACGUUUAGUUAUCAAUAAGAAGAUAAAAUUUCCAUCAGAGGUGGUUCACACUUAGUAUAUUUUGGUAGUGAAAAUUUAUUACCAGAAGCAUUUACUCUUUUGGAAAUCUUGAUAUUAGACAAACAUUCAUCUUGUCAAACCACCUCAUCCAGUGACUCAAACUAUUAAAUUAAAUAGAGUAUACGUUUACUUAUUUAAAUUUAGUCAUCAUACACAUCAUCUAUGUGGUGGUCAUAUGUUGAUUUGUUCCAAGCUUUCAUUGUUUAUGGUCCAAAUGUGAAGGUUGGAACAUUGAACUACCAUGUGAAAUCAAAUUUCUCGAAUAUUUCAGGGCUAGUAAAGCUUCACCAAGAUAUUAGGACAUGUGAGUACGAAGAUGUCCACAUCUUGUGGAAUAUGCUGAAGAGAAAUGAGACAGAUCUCACUAGAAGGAAAAAGGAGCCCUUUUGGAACAUCCUUCGAUGGGCAAAGCAUGCUUCAUUUCCUUGCCGUGGUAUGUGAACAUACCCAUAUGCAGUGAGUUUUUUAUGCUUUUGUUCUCUGAAUGUUGUAUGUUGAAGACUUAAAAAGUAAUCAGCAUAUUAUCUUGUAAGGGUAAUCACAUGUUUUUGAAGCAUAUCAUAUGCUGUUUAUAAUGUAAACCUGCAUAUAGAUUAAUUUUUCUCCCUUUUGUUAUUUAAUGUCAAAUGUAUUAUGGAGCUGGCGCUUAGUAUUUGCCUCUGUUACUGAAUCCUUGACACGUUGAAUAUAACCUCCUAUUUUGGGAGUAAAUAAGACGGUGUGGAUAACUUUUGAUACUUGUAAAUAGAUCGAAUGUUUUUUAUAGCAGGCUGCAGUGAUUUGUAAAUAGCAAGAGUAGGCUUACCGUUAUGCUAUCCCAACAAUGGGAACAAUUUGGAGUUUAGAUUGUUGUUCAAAACAGAGUUGAUACCACUAGGUGAACCUUUGACACUUGUUUGUGUGUGUGUGUGUGUCUCUCUCUCUCUCUCUCUCUC